rnacentral:rRNA from 1 species
AUGGAUGCUGCUUUAACAUUUCAGGUUCAGAAUUCAGAUUUGUGUUGGCGCUGUUUGCCCAUUGUUCAGAGUUCAGGUAUUGGGUUUACGGAUGGAAGGGGAUCGCCAUUGUUUGUGGCAAUGGGUGCUGUAUCAGAAUUGUUGGAGGAUAUAUGGUAUAUUCAUAGUUUCAUACAGAUGAUACUUAGUAUACUUGUUGUAUUGGUCUCAAGGUUUUCUUUGCAGUAUACGUAUUUCGGGAGUUCAAGCUUGAGGAAUUCUUUCUGUUCACUAAUAUAUAUUUUUUAUAUAUGCACAAGUUCCUGA